rnacentral:rRNA from 1 species
GACGAACGCUGGCGGCGUGCUUAACACAUGCAAGUCGAACGGUGAAGCGCCUUCCUUUUUGGUGGGUGUGGAUGAGUGGCGAACGGGUGAGUAACACGUGAGUAACCUGCCCCCUUCUUCUGGAUAACCGCAUGAAAGUGUGGCUAAUACGGGAUAUUCUGGGUCUGUCGCAUGAUGGGUCUGGGAAAGAUAUUGUUUCGGUGGGGGAUGGGCUCGCGGCCUAUCGGCUUGUUGGUGGGGUGAUGGCCUACCAAGGCGGUGACGGGUAGCCGGCCUGAGAGGGUGGACGGUCACACUGGGACUGAGACACGGCCCAGACUCCUACGGGAGGCAGCAGUGGGGAAUAUUGCACAAUGGGCGCAAGCCUGAUGCAGCGACGCCGCGUGAGGGAUGGAGGCCUGCGGGUUGUGAACCUCUUUCGCCAGUGAAGCAGGCCUGCCUCGUUUGUGGGUGGGUUGACGGUAGCUGGAUAAGAAGCGCCGGCUAACUACGUG